AGCUUUCAGACUAAACCAACAGUAGGAAUUCGAGUGCAAAACCAAUACACAAACAUUAUAUGUUGCAAUCAGGUAGAAAUAAAACAACUAAAAAAUGGGAGCAAAAAGACGUGAGAUUAAAAUCAUUGAUCGCUGUAUAGGCAAUAAGUGUGAAUUACAGGCAUUAAAACCUGACAAACUAGAUAGUAAAUCUUAAAUAAGAAAAUGGAGAAUAAAGUAUAAAUACAAAGAUAACCACUAGAAUAAAAAUUCUUAACUAUCAGUAAAACAUUUUCAUAAAAUGACAAAUAGUACACAUUGCACAGAAAAUAAAUAUAGCAAAUAUAACAAUACAAUUUUAUGACAGGCUUCAAACCAAACACUCAGUCAUAUGAAUGAUGAGUGGGCUUGACUCACCUAUUCAGCUUAUUUCAAUUUGUCUUACAAAGCUAGAACCAACAGUAUACUGUAUACAAGAAACAAAGUGAUGUAAGAAGACUAAAAAUAAUGGGAUGGACAAUGAAAUAUAGGGGAAAUGAGAACAAUAAGAAAAUAGGGGAGGUGAUCCUGAUACUAGGCAACGUAGAAUCCAAGCCAAAAAAAUAUAAAUAUGACCCUCAAAUCUCUUUUUUUUUUUUUUUUUUGGGACAGAGUCGUUCUUGUUGUCCAGGCUAAAGUACAAUGGGGCGAUCUUGGCUUACCACAACCUCCGUCUCUCAGGUUCAAGUGAUUCUCCUGCCUUAACCUCCUGAGUAGCUGGGAUUAUGGCGCCUGACACCACACUUGGCUAAUUUUUGGUAUUUUUUUUUAGUAGAGACGGGGUUUCACCAUGCUGGGCAGGCUGGUCUCAAACUCCUGACUUCAGGUGAUCUGCCCACCUCGGCCUCCCAAAGUGUUGGGAUUACAGGCGUGAGCCACUGUGCCCGGCCCAAAUCUCCUUUUUAAUUCUAAAAUCUGUAAUUCACAAUAAAGACCUAACAUGAAUAUGUAUGGUACCAAAUAACACUGCAAACAUUCUUAUGAAGCAAAAACUGCAGGGGAUGCAGGAAGACAAAGAUAGAAAUGCAUCAAUAAUGGGAGAUAAUAGCAAGCCACUCUCACUGUAAGACAAAAUAAGUGGACCUUUUAUUACCAAUUCACUCUCCCUACUCGUUAAUGUCUGAUCAAAUUUUUCAUUUAUUUAGUCAUAUGGAAGGAAGAGCAAAACUGAAGGUGAUACAAUUGUUAGGCUGUUAUAGUGAUCCAGAAGAGAGCUAAGGAGGCAGUCUGAAGAGAGGCUAUACCAAAGAGGAUAGGGAGGAUGGCAGAAAUGUUAAGAAAGUAUACGGCUCAUAUAGAUUCUAUGGUUUUAGGAAUUCAUCCAUUUCUUCUAGGUUAUCCAAUUUGUUAGCAAGUUCAUGGCAAUCUCGUAAGAUCCUUGGUAUAUCUGUAGUAUCAUGUAUAAUGUCUCUGCUUUAUUUUCUAAUUUUAUUUUAGCCUUCUCUCAUUUCUUAGUUUAGAUCAAGGUUUGUUGAUUUUAUCUUAAAAACCAACUGUUAGUUUUGUUCUUUUCUGUUGUUUUUCUAGUUUGUGUUUAUUUCUGCUCUGAUCUUUAUUAUUUCCUUCCUCCUACUAACUUUGGCCUUAAUUUAUUCUUCUCUUUCUAGUUCCCUAAGAUAUAAAGUUAGAUGGUUCACAGUCUUUCUUCUUUUUCGAUAUAGGUGUUUAUUGCUAUUAUCUUCCUCUUGGGACUGCUUUGGCUGCUACCCGCAAGUUUUGGCAUGUGGUGUUUCCAUUUUCAUUUGUCUCAAGACAAUUUUUAAUGUCCCUUUUACUUUUGUCUUUGACCCACUGGUUGUACAGGAGAAUUUGGUUUAAUUCUACAUAUUGUGAAUUUUCUGACAUUUUUCCUAUUAUUAAUUCCUAAUUUCAUACCACUGUGGUUGAAAGAUACUGGAUAUGACUUUAACCUGCUUAAAUUUGUUAAGUUUUCUUUUGUAGCUUAAUGUAUGAUCUAUUCUGCAGAAAGCUCUGUGUGAGCUUGAAAAUAAUGUGUAUUCUGUUGCUAUUGGAUGAAAUGUUCUGUAUAUUGUUGAAAAUGGGUAUUGAGGUACCCUACCAUUAUUGUAUUGCAGUUUAUCUCUUCAGAUCUUUAUAUCUUUGCUUUAUAUAUUUAGGUGCUCUGAUGCUGAGUGCAUAUAUAUUUAUAAUUGUUAUAUCCUCUUGAAUUGAUCCCUUUAUCAUUAUACAAUGACCUUUGUCUCCUUGUAUACAUUACUUAAAAUCUAUUUUACCUAAGUAUAGCUAUCCCAGUUCUUUUGGUUUCCAUUUGCAUGGAAUACAUUUUCCAUUCCUUUACCUCCAAUCUAUGUGUCUUUUUUUUUCUUUUCUUUUUUUUUUUUUUUUUUUUUGAGACAGAGUCUCACUCUGUUGCCAGGCUGGAGUCCGGUGGCGUGAUCUCAGCUCACUGCAACCUCCACCUCCCUGCCUCAGCCUCCUGAGUAGCUGGGACUACAGGCAUGUGCCACCACACCCAGCUAUUUUUUGUAUUUUUAGUAGAGACGAGGUUUCACCAUGUUGGCCAGGAUGGUCUCGAUCUCUUGACCUCGUGAUCCACCCGCCUCGGCCUUCCAAAGUGCUGGGAUUACAGGCGUGAGCCACCACACCUGGCCCAAUCUAUGUGUCUUUAAUGGUGAAAUGAGCGUCUUGUAUUCAGCCUAAAAUCAGGUCCUUAAAAAAUUCAUUCAGUCCUUCAAAAGAAUAGUGAUGUCUUUAGUUUGGAGAAUUUAAUCCAAUGAUAUUCAAGGUGAUUACUGAUAGGUAAGAAUUUACUACAGCCAUUUUGUUGUUUACCAGUUGUUUUGAUAAAUCCUUUGUUCCUUUCUCAUCUCUUGCUGUUCUCCUUUGUGAUUAGAUGAUUUUUUUUGCGUGACAUGCUUUGAUUCCUUUUUUUUUUUUUUAAUCAUUUGUGUAUCUACUAUAGGUUUUUGCUUUGUGGUUACCAUGGGACUUACAUAAAAUAACAGCAAUGACAGGCUAUAUUUUAAGCUAAUAACUAAACUUGAUCAUAUAGAAACACUACCAUUUUUGUAGUUUUAUGUUUUUGAUGCCACAAUUUAAAUCUCUUUAUAUUGUAUAUUACUUAGAAAGUAUUGUGGUUAUAAUUAUAAAAGUUUUGUCUUUUAAUCUUCUUACUAAAGAGAUGUGAUUUACACACCACCAUUACAAUAUCUGAGUAUUCUGUAUUUAUCUAUGUACUUGCUUUUACCAGUGAGUUUUAUACUUCAUAUGUUUUCAUGUUACUAAUUUAGUGUCCUUUAUUUUCAGCUUGAAUAAUUCCCUUUAGCAUUUAUUAGUUUCAGGCAGGUCUAGUGGUAAUGAACUCCCUCAGCUUUUGUUUGUCUGAGAAAAUCUUUCUCUGUCUUUGGUUUCUGAAGGACAGCUUUGCCAGGUGAAAUAUUCUUGGUUGGCAGUUUUUUUCUUCAGCACAUUGAAUAUAUCAUCCCACCCUUUCCUGGCCUGUAAGGUCUGUCCUGGGAAAUCUGCAGAUAGUCUUAUUGAUAUUGUUCUUAAUGUAAUGUGCUUCUUUGCUCUUGCUGUUUUCAGAAUCCUGUCUUGAAGUUUGAUUAUAUGUCUUCAUAUAAUUUAGAUUGAAUCUUAUUGGAGACCUCUGACCUUUUCAUAAUAGUGUGUAUUUAUAUCUUUCCCCAGAUUUGGGAGGCUUUCAGCUAUUAUUUUUUUCAAAUCAGGUUUUGAAAAACCCUCAUCCUUAUUUCUAUAAUACAUUUGUUAGCUCUUUUGAUGAUGUCUCAUAAAUCCUGUAGUCUUUCUUCAUUCCAUUAUUUUUUCUCCUUUGACCAUAUUAUUUUGAAAUAGAGUUCACACAUAUUUUUUUCUCCUGCUUGAUUAGUUCUGCCAUUCUCCUUUUUGCAUUUUUCAUUUCAUUCAUUGUAUUCUUUAGCCCCAAAAUUUGUUUGGUUCUUUUAGUGAUUUCAACCUGUUAAAUUUAUCGUUUUGUUGAUUUAUUGUUUCCCUGAUUUCAUAGAACUGAUUCUCUGUAUUUUCUUGAAGUUCACUGAGAUUCCUUAAAACAAUUACUUUAAAUUAUCUGUAAGGCAGUGUAUAGUCUCUAUUUAUUUGCAGCUUCUAGGAAAUUAUUGUUCUUUUGGUGGUAAUAUGUCUCCUUGAUUUUUCAUGUUUCUUGCUGCCCUGUUGAUGUCUGUGCAUUUGGUGGGGGUAGCCAUCUCUUUCAGAUUUUAUGCACUGGUUUCAGUGGGGAAAGGCUUUCCCCUAUGGGAGGGUGCUAGGCCCCUGGCUGGGUGAGGUGCAGUGGUUCUGGUUCCAGAUAGGACACAGCAGUAUAGUCUCCAUGGAGUUCUGUCAGCUGAGGUCAAAGUGACAAAGAUUGCAGGGAUCCUCAGCAGCCAGUACUGUGAAUGUCCACAGCAGAGGUGAGGGCUAUUGGGAUUGUCAGUGGCAAUGGCUGCUAGGUUCUCCCAAUCUCUUAUUCUCCCACCAAUGAAUCUUUCGACAAUGGGAUCUCUUUUGGCACAAGGUCUGGCUUGUGGGCCUGCUCACGGUGGCAGUGGUACAGGUGUCUGAUGAGUGGCAUGUAAAGCAGCCAUGGAGCCAAGUCUUGAAGUAUGAGCAUGAGCAGAGGGACUAUGGCUCUGGGAUCCAAGGCAUUAAUGGCAUUGGUGCUGGGAUGAAGGCACCCCCACUUGCAUGUUGGUGCUUAUGAAGUAAUGGGUAAGCCAGGGAACCUGGGACAGGACUAUGGGCAUGAAUAGAGCUACAGUGGCUGCAGGGUUAGGGAUGCCAGCUAGCUCUCUAUGGCAGCUAAGUUUGUACCCAGAGCAUAGGCAUGCAUGGAGAGACCUUGGCUCUGGGACCCACACAUGAUCUAGCUUGCUAUGGUUCUGGUGUAUGAGACAUGGGUACACAGAAUAAACCCUCAGAGAAGGGGUCAGGAAUGUGGGCACUUGUGGAACAGCCACAGCUCAGAGGUUGGAGGCAUGCACAGGGAUGGGAAAUGUGGCAGCUCCAGUCCCAGAAUAGCACAAGAGCAACU
rnacentral:lncRNA from 10 species